CUUCACCUGAAAUGGUCACCAGGCUCUUCUGCGUGGCUCUUUGUCUCCUGUGGGCAGGAUGCAUGGAUGCUGGAGUCACCCAGGGUCCAAGAUACGAGAUUGCGAGGACAGGAAAGAAGACAUCCGUGUACUUCUGUGCCAACACUUACCC